rnacentral:rRNA from 1 species
UCACCUUUUCUUGUUCUCCCCGCCUAUAUACCGCCGUCGUCAGCUUACCCUAUGAAGGUCCCUUAGUAAGCACAAUUGGCACAGCCCAAAACGUCAGGUCGAGGUGUAGCGUAUGGAAAGGGAAGAAAUGGGCUACAUUCCCUACUACAGGGAAUCACGAACAAUAUUACUGAAACGUAUAUCUAGAAGGAGGAUUUAGCAGUAAGCAGAAAAUAGAGUGUUCUGCUGAAACCGGCCCUGAAGCGCGCACACACCGCCCGUCACUCUCCCCAAGCGUAUCUUUACAACAUACUUAAAACCUUUCAUCAGCAAAGGGGAGGCAAGUCGUAACAUGGUAAGUGUACCGGAAGGUGCACUUGGCAAAAAC